rnacentral:rRNA from 1 species
CCUACGGGAGGCAGCAGUGAGGAAUAUUGGUCAAUGGGCGGGAGCCUGAACCAGCCAAGUCGCGUGAGGGACGACGGUCCUAUGGAUUGUAAACCUCUUUUGUCGGGGAACAAAGGCGCCCACGGGUGGGCGGAUGAGUGUACCCGAAGAAAAAGCAUCGGCUAACUCCGUGCCAGCAAACGCGGUAAUACGUGGGAUGCGAGCGUUAUCCGGAGUUAUUGGGUUUAAAGGGUGAGUAGGAGUACAGGCAAGUCAGCGGGAAAAAUGCGGUGCCAAACGCCGUACAGACGUUGAACCUGGGAGUCUGGAGUGGGCGAGAAGUAUGCGGAAUGCGUGGUGUAGCGGUGAAAUGCAUAGAUAUCACGCAGAACUCCGAUUGCGAAGGCAGCAUACCGGCGCCCGACUGACGCUGAGGCACGAAAGCGUGGGUAUCGAACAGGAUUAGAUACCCGAGUAGUC